rnacentral:misc_RNA from 1 species
GAUGAAGAACGCAGCGAAAUGCGAUAAGUAAUGUGAAUUGCAGAAUUCAGUGAAUCAUCGAAUCUUUGAACGCAUCUUGCGCUCCUUGGUAUUCCGAGGAGCAUGCCUGUUUGAGUGUCAUUUUAACUUCUCAACCAUAUCGAAUUGUUUUUUUUUCGAGGUGGCUUGGAUUGUGGGGGUUUUUUUUUUUUUUUGCAGGCUUCAAUAUGAAGUCGGCUCCCCUGAAAGGCAUUAGUGGUAUCUGAAGCAGAACUGCUACUAUUAGGUGUGAUAAUUAUCUAUGCCUUUUGGUAUACUGCAUGAACAGAUUGUGCUGCUUCAAACUGUACACCCUUUGGUGUUUGACAAAUUUGACCUCAAAUCAGGUAGGACUACCCGCUGAACUUAAGCAUAUCAAUAAGCGGAGGA